rnacentral:rRNA from 1 species
GAUGAACGCUGGCGGCGUGCCUAAUACAUGCAAGUCGAGCGAACGGACGAGAAGCUUGCUUCUCUGAUGUUAGCGGCGGACGGGUGAGUAACACGUGGAUAACCUACCUAUAAGACUGGGAUAACUUCGGGAAACCGGAGCUAAUACCGGAUGAUAUUUUGAACCGCAUGGUUCAAAAGUGAAAGACGGUCUUGCUGUCACUUAUAGAUGGAUCCGCGCUGCAUUAGCUAGUUGGUAAGGUAACGGCUUACCAAGGCAACGAUGCAUAGCCGACCUGAGAGGGUGAUCGGCCAGACUGGAACGGAGACACGGUCCAGACUCCUACGGGAGGCAGCAGUAGGGAAUCGUCCGCAAUGGGCGAAAGCCUGACGGAGCAACGCCGCGUGAGUGAUGAAGGUCUUCGGAUCGUAAAACUCUGUUAUUAGGGAAGAACAUAUGUGUAAGUAACUGUGCACAUCUUGACGGUACCUAAUCAGAAAGCCACGGCUAACUACGUG